CGCCUGGGGAGUACGGCCGCAAGGUUAAAACUCAAAUGAAUUGACGGGGGCCCGCACAAGCGGUGGAGCAUGUGGUUUAAUUCGACGCAACGCGAAGAACCUUACCUGGCCUUGACAUGCAGAGAACUUUCCAGAGAUGGAUUGGUGCCUUCGGGAACUCUGACACAGGUGCUGCAUGGCCGUCGUCAGCUCGUGUCGUGAGAUGUUGGGUUAAGUCCCGUAACGAGCGCAACCCCUAUCCCUAGUUGCUAGCAGUUCGGCUGAGAACUCUAGGGAGACUGCCGGUGACAAACCGGAGGAAGGUGGGGAUGACGUCAGGUCAUCAUGGCCCUUACGGCCAGGGCUACACACGUGCUACAAUGGUGCGCACAGAGGGCUGCAAACCCGCGAGGGGGAGCCAAUCUCACAAAACGCAUCGUAGUCCGGAUCGCAGUCUGCAACUCGACUGCGUGAAGUCGGAAUCGCUAGUAAUCGUGAAUCAGAAUGUCACGGUGAAUACGUUCCCGGGCCUUGUACACACCGCCCGUCACACCAUGGGGGUGGAUUGCACCAGAAGUGGUUAGUCUAACCUUCGGGAGGACGAUCACCACGGUGUGGUUCAUGACUGGGGUGAAGUCGUAACAAGGUAACCGUA
rnacentral:rRNA from 1 species